AACGAACGCUGGCGGCAUGCCUAACACAUGCAAGUCGAACGAGACCUUCGGGUCUAGUGGCGCACGGGUGCGUAACGCGUGGGAACCUGCCCUUAGGUUCGGAAUAACUCCCCGAAAGGGGUGCUAAUACCGGAUAAUGUCUUCGGACCAAAGAUUUAUCGCCUUUGGAUGGGCCCGCGUUGGAUUAGCUAGUUGGUAGGGUAAAAGCCUACCAAGGCGACGAUCCAUAGCUGGUCUGAGAGGAUGAUCAGCCACACUGGGACUGAGACACGGCCCAGACUCCUACGGGAGGCAGCAGUGGGGAAUAUUGGACAAUGGGCGAAAGCCUGAUCCAGCAAUGCCGCGUGAGUGAUGAAGGCCUUAGGGUUGUAAAGCUCUUUUACCCGGGAUGAUAAUGACAGUACCGGGAGAAUAAGCUCCGGCUAACUCCGG
rnacentral:rRNA from 1 species